GCCGGCAUGGCGGAAUUGGCAGACGCAAGGGACUUAAAAUCCCUCGGGAGCAAUCUCGUACCGGUUCAAGUCCGGUUGCCGGCAUCA
rnacentral:tRNA from 5 species